UUCAUUCAUCUUCCGAGCCGCUUCAUCCUCACUAGGGUGGCGGGGGGUGCCGGAGCCCAUCCCAGCUGUCUCCGGGCAGUAGGCGGGGGACACCCUGAAUCGGUUGCCAGCCAAUCGCAGGGCACACAGAGACGAACAACCAUUCGCACUCACACUCACACCUAGGGACAAUUUAGAGUGUUCAAUCAGCCUGCCACGCAUGUUUUUUGGAAUGUGGGAGGAAACCGGAGCACCCGGAGAAAACCCACGCAGGCCAGGGGAGAACAUGCAAACUCCACACAGGGAGGCCGGAGCUGGAAUCGAACCCGGUACCUCCGCACUGUGAAACCAACGUGCUAACCACUGGACUACCGGGCCGCCCAAUUAUAAUAUAAUAUAUAUAUAUAUAUAUUAUAUGUAUAAUAAUACCCGCGUUCCCUAAUUAUGAUUAAGAAGAGCUUGAACAUGCGCGUUUACACCGAUUUCCCCCCCCCCCCCCCCCGGUGCCUGUAAGUGUAAACCUCUUGAAGCAUGCUGGAGUUUGCUAACAAAGUCAAGAGGGGAGCCCGCCACCCCCCAAAGAAGACACUUUAGAGAGCCCAUCAAGCAGAUAAACAGCUUGAGAGUUUGGAGUAUAAGGAGCUUGGGGCCCCCAUCUUUUCUUAAUGGGACUUUUUCCAGAGGCUUGUCAGCCCUUAAGAUGACUGAAAAAUCUUUCCUGGCCGGGAUGCCACCAAGCUGCCGCGGCGAGUGCCAAGCUGAUCGCUUUUGAUCCCGCUUAUCUUUUUUUUUUUUUUUUUUUAAUAGUGGCGUGGGAGGGAAAGGCAACAAGACAGGGAUGGAGGAGAGCAAGCUAAGCAGUUGGACGGGCGGCGCUGAUGAGCAAUGAGCCGCUCCUCCAUUAAUCUUGUCUGCCUCACCUUUGUUGCCUUUCACAAACGGCCUCAUCCAUUCUCCUUUCAUCCUGCCAAUUGCUUGAUCAUAUGUCCCACAUUUCAUAACAUUCUCCCCGUCACCUGCGGCGUGUCAUGCAGGAGCAAAGCGGCCCCGAUGGGGUGGACGCCCUUUGAGGAUUAUGCCGGGGCUACACCUCCAUCGGGAGCGCCAUUUUCGCAGGCAUCCGGCGGAAUUAGCUCGAUUUAUCUGUCUGCCUGGGAAAAAAAAAAAGUGGAACAGGUUCCUUAUCGGCUCGGGGGCGCGGGGGGGGGCUUGUAAAUGCAAAUGUGCGCCUUUUGUCAGUAGGCGUCACCGCUCCGGGGUUGAGCGGGGCCGCGCCGAGCCGAGGCUACGGUAAUCCGGCACUGCAGCGCGGCCGAUAAUUUGUGCCUUAUCCUCAUGUAAUGAUAGCGUCGGCGUCUUUUUACUCACGCUAAUCCCGCCACCGAAGCGAGGAAAUGCCCCGGCUGAGGUUUGUUAGCGGGCGACUAGUUUGGCAAUGAGUUGCUGAGACCAUGUUCGACAGGAAAACAAAAUGGCGGAUUUUGUCGCCGAGGAAGAAGGAAUUAUAGUACAACUAAAAAAAAAAAAAACAUCCAAUCCGGCGGCCCGGUAGUCCAGUGGUUAGCACGUGGGCUUCACAGUGCAGAGGUACCGGGUUCGAUUCCAGCUCCGGCCUCCCUGUGUGGAGUUUGCAUGUUCUCCCCGGGCCUGCGUGGGUUUUCUCCGGGUGCUCCGGUUUCCUCCCACGUUCCAAAAAUAUGCAUGGCAGGCUGAUUGAACACUCUAAAUUGUCCCUAGGUGUGAGUGUGAGUGCGAAUGGUUGUUCGUCUCUGUGUGCCCUGCGAUUGGCUGGCAACCGAUUCAGGGUGUCCCCCGCCUACUGCCCGGAGACAGCUGGGAUAGGCUCCAGCACCCCCCGCCACCCUAGUGAGGAUCAAGCGGUUAGGAAGAUGAAUGAAUGAAUGAAAGUCUGACUUGAGUCAAAUCCUCUGCCGAUAGCGCCACCUGUUGGCAUGGCGCUUCAGAGAAAGCCAUUCGCAUUACGAUGGCGGGGGAGUGGUGGGCGGGGGGGUGGGUGGCGUUUUAUUGAAACCCCUCUUGUAGCAGUGGAAGUAGUGAGCACCUCUCAGGCAUGCAGAGCGAGCGUUGCCGUUGAUGGUGGGGGGAGAGGGGGGGGGGGUUAUCCGUGCACCCUGACUCGCCUUCUCUCUGAGGCUCUUCAAAGACGCGCAGGCGGUGCAUGAAUUGUAAUUAUGGCUCCUAACAGGAUUCGAGAGCGGGCACUUGAGAAGCGGGUCGUGUGGAGUUAAACGGCUGUCACACACACUCCAAAGCCGGGCUGCCAUGUGAACAAACCGACAAAAGCCGCGCUCCCAUCCAGCCUUGGGCCCUUCUGGGGCCACUUUACCUCUCGCCGGGAGAUUAGAGAUCAGCUUUAAAAGCAGCCCAAAUGGCAUCUUUGAGUCCAGGUUGCACUUUUUCGGGCUAAUGCACAAAAGACGGCCAAGACCAGCAGUGUGGACGUACUUUAUCAGUCAUCCUCAAGCGAGGGAUGGGAGGCUUUAAGGCAAAUGGGAUAAAA